rnacentral:tRNA from 1 species
AGGGAAUUAGCUCAGCUUGUGUAGAGCGCUUGGUUUGGGACCAAGAGGUCGCAGGUUCAAAUCCUGUAUUCCCUA